rnacentral:rRNA from 1 species
AGCAGCCGCGGUAAUUCCAGCUCCAAUAGCGUAUAUUAAAGUUGUUGCAGUUAAAAAGCUCGUAGUUGAAUUUCGGGAUCGACGGGUCGGUCGCGCCUCCGGUGUGUACUGGCCCUGUCGGUUUCUCCCUUCUGACGAACCACGAUGUCAUUAAUUUGAUGUCGUGAGGAAUCAGGACUGUUACUUUGAAAAAAUUAGAGUGUUUAAAGCAGGCAUUCGCUUGAAUACAUUAGCAUGGAAUAAUGAAAUAGGACGUUUGAUCUUAUUUUGUUGGUUUCUAAGAUCGACGUAAUGAUUAAUAGGGAUAGUUGGGGGCAUUAGUAUUCAAUUGUCAGGAGGUGAAAUUCUUGGAUUUAUUGAAGACUAACUACUGCGAAAGCAUUUGCCAAGGAUGUUUUCAUUAAUCAAGAACGAAAGUUAGGGGAUCGAAGACGAUCAGAUACCGUCGUAGUCUUAACCAUAAACUAUGCCGACUAGGGAUCGGAUGAUGUUUAAUUUUUAAUGACUCAUUCGGCGCCGU